rnacentral:rRNA from 1 species
GACAGAGGGUGCAACCGUUGUUCGGAAUUACUGGGCGUAAAGCGCGUGUAGGCUGCUCCGCAAGUCGGAUGUGAAAGCCCUGGGCUCAACCUAGGAAGUGCAUUCGAUACUGCGGAGCUGGAGUCCUGGAGAGGAAGGCGGAAUUCUCGGUGUAGAGGUGAAAUUCGUAGAUAUCGAGAGGAACACCGGUGGCGAAGGCGGCCUUCUGGACAGUGACUGACGCUGAGACGCGAAAGCGUGGGGAGCAAACAGG